AAGGGAGACCUAAUUCAGGUAGGAGACGAAAAAAAAGUAGUCCCAACCAAGAAUCAAUCCCAAAAGGUCGGAGCGAGGCGAAAUUGGCUUUCAAACUAGGUUCUGGGUUCACACAAGACCUGAAUCAGGAACAAGGGCUAUUAGCUCAGGUGGUUAGAGCGCACCCCUGAUAAGGGUGAGGUCCCUGGUUCGAGUCCAGGAUGGCCCACCUGCACAGGUGGCAAAAACAAGAGAAGCGAGGAAUCAGCACCUUAUCUUAUCUAUAUAUAUAUAGGAGAGAAUGCUGGCUCUGAGUAAAGAGUCCGGAGGAACCUUGAAAACUGCAUAGAGCUAGGUGAAAAAGCCAAAAAAGAAGACCGCAA
rnacentral:tRNA from 1 species